CCUACGGGUGGCAGCAGUGAGGAAUAUUGGUCAAUGGGCGCAAGCCUGAACCAGCCAAGUAGCGUGAAGGAUGACUGCCCUAUGGGUUGUAAACUUCUUUUAUAAGGGAAUAAAGUGCAGUAUGUAUACUGCUUUGCAUGUAACUUAUGAAUAAGGAACGGCUAACACCGUGCCAGCAGCCGCGGUAAUACGGAGGGUCGGAGCGUUAACCGGAUUUAUUGGGGUUAAAGGGAGCGUAGGCGGGUUGUUAAGUCAGUUGUUAAAGUUUGCGGCUCAACCGUAUAAUUGCAGUUGAUACUGGCAUCCUUGAGUGCAGUAGAGGUAGGCGGAAUUCGUGGUGUAGCGGUGAAAUGCUUAGAUAUCACGAAGAACUCCGAUUGCGAAGGCAGCCUGCUGGCCUGUAACUGACGCUGAUGCUCGAAAGUGUGGGUAUCAAACAGGAUUAGAUACCCGUGUAGUC
rnacentral:rRNA from 1 species